UGUAAGCGUAUACCAAAGUUGUUGCAGUUAAAACGCUCGUAGUCGGAAUUUGGCAGUUCCGGAUGUGUGCACGUCGUGUGCGCACUUCGCGGGGAUUGCUUUUGUGGUCUUGCGUAGGAUGAGGCACUUUUAUUAGUGAACGUCCUCACGCAACCACUUUUUACUGUGAGAAAAUCAGAGUGCUCAAAGCAGGCAUUUGCCGUGAAUGUAUUAGCAUGGAAUAAUAGAAUAGGACUUGGUUCUAUUUUGUUGGUUUGUUGGGACUGAGUAAUGAUUAAGAGGGACAGUUGGGGGCAUUUGUAUUUCGGUGCUAGAGGUGAAUUUCUUAGAUUACCGAAAGACAAACUGCUGCGAAAGCGUCUGCCAAGGAUGUUUUCAUUGA
rnacentral:rRNA from 1 species